UACAGAGGUCUCAAGCGUUGUUCGGAUUCAUUGGGCGUAAAGGGUGCGUAGGCGGCGCGGUAAGUCGGGUGUGAAAUCUCGGGGCUUAACUCCGAAACUGCAUUCGAUACUGCCGUGCUUGAGGACUGGAGAGGAGACUGGAAUUUACGGUGUAGCGGUGAAAUGCGUAGAUAUCGUAAGGAAGACCAGUGGCGAAGGCGGGUCUCUGGACAGUAACUGACGCUGGAGGAGCGAAAGCGUGGGGAGCGAACAGG
rnacentral:rRNA from 1 species